rnacentral:rRNA from 1 species
UGGGGAAUAUUGCACAAUGGGCGCAAGCCUGAUGCAGCCAUGCCGCGUGUAUGAAGAAGGCCUUCGGGUUGUAAAGUACUUUCAGCGGGGAGGAAGGGAGUAAAGUUAAUACCUUUACUCAUUGACGUUACCCGCAGAAGAAGCACCGGCUAACUCCGUGCCAGCAGCCGCGGUAAUACGGAGGGUGCAAGCGUUAAUCGGAAUUACUGGGCGUAAAGCGCACGCAGGCGGUUUGUUAAGUCAGAUGUGAAAUCCCCGGGCUCAACCUGGGAACUGCAUCUGAUACUGGCAAGCUUGAGUCUCGUAGAGGGGGGUAGAAGUCCAGGUGUAGCGGUGAAAUGCGUAGAGAUCUGGAGGAAUACCGGUGGCGAAGGCGGCCCCCUGGACGAAGACUGACGCUCAGGUGCGAAAGCGUGGGGAGCAAACAGG